CCUACGGGGGGCAGCAGUGAGGAAUAUUGGUCAAUGGACGAGAGUCUGAACCAGCCAAGUAGCGUGAAGGAUGACUGCCCUAUGGGUUGUAAACUUCUUUUAUAUGGGAGUAAAAUGUUCCACGUGUGGGAUUUUGUAUGUACCAUAUGAAUAAGGAUCGGCUAACUCCGUGCCAGCAGCCGCGGUAAUACGGAGGAGCCGAGCGUUAUCCGGAUUUAUUGGGUUUAAAGGGAGCGUAGAUGGAUUGUUAAGUCAGUUGUGAAAGUUUGCGGCUCAACCGUAAAAUUGCAGUUGAAACUGGCAGUCUUGAGUACAGUAGAGGUGAGCGGAAUUCGUGGUGUAGCGGUGAAAUGCUUAGAUAUCACGAAGAACUCCGAUUGCGAAGGCAGUUCACUGGACUGCAACUGACACUGAGGCUCGAAAGUGUGGGUAUCAAACAGGAUUAGAUACCCCUGUAGUC
rnacentral:rRNA from 1 species